UACGGAGGGGGCUAGCGUUGUUCGGAAUUACUGGGCGUAAAGCGCGCGUAGGCGGAUCUGCAAGUCGGGGGUGAAAGCCCGAGGCUCAACCUCGGAACUGCCUUCGAGACUGCGGGGCUUGAGUUCGGGAGAGGUGAGUGGAAUUCCUAGUGUAGAGGUGAAAUUCGUAGAGAUUAGGAAGAACACCAGUGGCGAAGGCGGCUCACUGGCCCGUAACUGACGCUGAGGUGCGAAAGCGUGGGGAGCAAACAGG
rnacentral:rRNA from 1 species